GCCAGGCGUGGUGGCGCGUGCCUGUAAUCCCAGCUACUUGGGAGGCUGAGGCAGGAGAAUCGCUUGAACCCAGGAGGCCAAGGUUGCAGUGAGCCGAGACCACACCACUGCACUCCAGCCUGGCAACAGAGUGAGACUCUGCCUCCA
rnacentral:SRP_RNA from 2 species